rnacentral:rRNA from 1 species
UACGUAGGGUGCAAGCGUUGUCCGGAAUUAUUGGGCGUAAAGCGCGCGUAGGCGGCUACUUAAGUCGGAUGUGAAAGCCCCUGGCUCAACUGGGGAAGUGCACCCGAAACUGAGUAGCUUGAGUGCAAAAGAGGGCCGCGGAAUUCCCGGUGUAGAGGUGAAAUUCGUAGAUAUCGGGAGGAACACCGGUGGCGAAGGCGGCGGCCUGGGUUGACACUGACGCUGAGGCGCGAAAGCGUGGGGAGCAAACAGG